UACGUAGGGGGCAAGCGUUGUCCGGAUUUAUUGGGCGUAAAGAGCGUGUAGGCGGCUCUGCAAGUCCUGCGUGAAAUCUCGAGGCUCAACCUCGAGCGGUCGUGGGAAACUGGAGGGCUAGAGUGCGGGAGAGGGAAGUGGAAUCCAGGUGUAGCGGUGAAAUGGCGCAGAUAUCUGGAAGAACACCCGUGGCGAAGGCGGCUUCC
rnacentral:rRNA from 1 species